GUGUUCACUUUGGCAACACUUAUAUUAAAAUUGGAACAGUACAGAGGAGAUUAGCGUGGCCCUGCGCACGGAUGACCCGAAAGUUUGUGAAGCAUUCCAUACUUAC
rnacentral:snRNA from 1 species